CAGCCGCCGCGGGAAAACGAAGGGGGCUAGCGUUGUUCGGAUUUACUGGGCGUAAAGCGCACGUAGGCGGACUUUUAAGUCAGGGGUGAAAUCCCGGGGCUCAACCCCGGAACUGCCUUUGAUACUGGGAGUCUUGAGUUCGAGAGAGGUGAGUGGAAUUGCGAGUGUAGAGGUGAAAUUCGUAGAUAUUCGCAGGAACACCAGUGGCGAAGGCGGCUCACUGGCUCGAUACUGACGCUGAGGUGCGAAAGCGUGGGGAGCGAACAGGAUUAGAUACCCGAGUAGUCCCUGUCUCUUAUAC
rnacentral:rRNA from 1 species